rnacentral:rRNA from 1 species
AUGAACGCUAGCGGCAGGCUUAAUACAUGCAAGUUGAGGGGCAGCAUGAUAUACGCGAGUAUAUUGAUGGCGACCGGCGGACGGGUGAGUAAUAGGUAGGAGACCUACCUCAUACAGGGGGAUAGCAUAGAGAAAUCUGUGGUAAUACCCCAUGAGGUUAUAUGAAUAGAGGCAUAUAAUCAAAGCAUAAGCGAUUAUGCGGUAUGAGAGGGGCCUACUGACCAUUAGCUAGUUGGUGAGGUAAGGGCUCACCAAGGCGAAGAUGGUUAGGGUUUUGAGAGAGAGACCCCCCACAUUGGAACUGAGAGACGGUCCAGACUCCUACGGGAGGCAGCAGUAGGGAAUAUUGGGCAAUGGGCGAAAGCCUGACCCAGCCAUGCCGCGUGAAGGAAGACGGCCUUAUGGGUUGUAAACUUCUUUACUACGCGAAUAGAGGUUAGUACGAGAUACUAAUAGGAAGGUAGUGUAGUAAAAAGCACCGGCUAACUCCGUG